rnacentral:rRNA from 1 species
AGCAGCCGCGGUAAUUCCAGCUCCAAUAGCGUAUAUUAAAGUUGCUGCAGUUAAAAAGCUCGUAGUUGAAUUUCGGGACUAAUAUGUCGGUCGUGCCUCGGUACGUACUGGUUUAUUGGUUUCUCCUUUCUGAAGAACCAUGAUGUCAUUUAUUUGGUGUCGUGGGGAAUCAGGACUGUUACUUUGAGAAAAUUAGAGUGUUUAAAGCAGGCUCACGCUUGAAUACAUUAGCAUGGAAUAAUGAAAUAGGACGUUUGAUUCUAUUUUGUUGGUUUCUAGGAUCGACGUAAUGAUUAAUAGGGAUAGUUGGGGGCAUUAGUAUUCAAUUGUCAGAGGUGAAAUUCUUGGAUUUAUUGAAGACUAACUACUGCGAAAGCAUUUGCCAAGGAUGUUUUCAUUAAUCAAGAACGAAAGUUAGGGGAUCGAAGACGAUCAGAUACCGUCGUAGUCUUAACCAUAAACUAUGCCGACUAGGGAUCGGAUGAUGUUAAUUUUUAUGACUCAUUC